CCCCGCCCCAUUAUGAUGGAAGGGCAGCUGGGCCAAACCUAACCAGUACUGUGACCCUGCUCACUGGGCUGCAACACCUGGAGUAGCGAGCUGUGCUCAGCCCUGUGGGUGGGAUAGGAGCCACCACUGUAGGGCCCAGGUCACAGCAGGUGGAACGCACCAGAUCAAGGCUCCUCUGCACUUGUUCCUGAGACCUGCCCUUGAUGAGCUAGUCGUCGAGAUACUGGAAGACCUGGACCCCUCAACAUCUCAGACCCCCGAUGGGGCUGCCAAGACCUUGGCGGCAGGGUCAGCCGGACCUGCUUCCAUGCAGACUGCAGAGUAUGCAUGUCCAGCGAGCGAAGGGUGGCCCGAGUGUCCUUUAAUCCACGCAGCCUCACAUCAGUCUGCACUGAAAAGAAACCAUUCCCAUCAAAAUGGAGGUCCUGGAUAGAGGUCUGCAUCUCUAGGGACAGGAUGGCAGUCUGAAGCCAAAAGCUGCACCUCAUAACCACUGCCACCGUGACCACCCUACCUGCCUUGUCCACUGCGUCCCACACCAUUUGGAGGGAGCACCUAGCCACCGUGGUGCCCUCCUCCACCAGGUUGCUGAAUUCCUGGGCCAGACUCUGUAGGAAGGACUCCUUGAACUUAUGGAGGGAGUCCCAUAAGUUAAAAUUGUA